CUGGGACAAGGGCUGGAUGAGA
rnacentral:miRNA from 17 species